GCGGUAAUACGUAGGUGGCAAGCGUUGUCCGGAAUUAUUGGGCGUAAAGCGCGCGCAGGUGGUUCCUUAAGUCUGAUGUGAAAGCCCACGGCUCAACCGUGGAGGGUCAUUGGAAACUGGGGAACUUGAGUGCAGAAGAGGAAAGUGGAAUUCCAAGUGUAGCGGUGAAAUGCGUAGAGAUUUGGAGGAACACCAGUGGCGAAGGCGACUUUCUGGUCUGUAACUGACACUGAGGCGCGAAAGCGUGGGGAGCAAACAGGAUU
rnacentral:rRNA from 1 species